UACGUAGGGUGCAAGCGUUAAUCGGAAUUACUGGGCGUAAAGCGUGCGCAGGCGGUUUUGUAAGCCAGAUGUGAAAUCCCCGGGCUCAACCUGGGAAUGGCAUUUGGGACUGCAAGGCUGGAGUGCGGCAGAGGAGACUGGAAUUCCUGGUGUAGCAGUGAAAUGCGUAGAUAUCAGGAGGAAUACCGAUGGCGAAGGCAGGUCUCUGGGCCGACACUGACGCUCAUGCACGAAAGCGUGGGGAGCAAACAGG
rnacentral:rRNA from 1 species